rnacentral:rRNA from 1 species
AUGGCCGCUUCGCUGGCUGCCUCGCUCUCCUUCCCGCCGCGCGGCCACCCGGCCCCCUUCGUCCGGAGCGCCCCGUUGGCGUCGCCGCGGCGAGGCGCGGGCCGCCGCACCCUCCCCGUCCCGGCGCACGCCGGCGGGGACGGCGGCGGCGAGGGGGGCGCGGAGAGGAUACUGGACCCGCUCGCCACGCCCUUCCAGGUCCUCGGCCUCGACGCCUUGGCCGGCUACUCCGCCGCGCAGCUCAAGGCCGCCUUCCGCGCUCGGGUGAAGGAAUUUCAUCCUGACGUUUGCAAGGACACGGAGAAUGCAGAUUUAAUAAUGAGGCGAGUACUGGAGGCCUAUGAGAUGUUAUCUGGCAACAUGGGAAUGAUGCUUGAAAGGAACAAUGUUGACCCAUUUGAUGAACCUGAGUGUGAAGCUCGCGACAUAUUUGUCAAUGAGCUCCUUUGUAUUGGCACUGGAUGCCCAUAUUCUUGUGUUAAAAGGGCACCUCAUGCAUUUGCAUUUGCAGAUGACAUUGGUACAGCUCGUGCAAUAUCUCAAGGUAAUGGUGACGAUUACCCUGUCCAACUUGCUGUUGGGCAGUGUCCGAGAAAGUGCAUAUACUAUGUGACACCUUGCCAACGUACUAUUUUGGAGGAAGUUCUUGCUAGCAUAUUGAUGACGCCAUGGGACCUCUCUGAAGCAGCAGUUCUGGAUUCGCUCACGUCGAAAGCAAUGUUUGAGAAUAACAGGUACAGGAAGCCCAAAAGAGAAGCAAAAUCAUCUUCUGACUAUGUUGAUUGGAUGUGA